rnacentral:rRNA from 1 species
UAAGCGGAGGAAAAGAAACCAACAGGGAUUGCCCUAGUAACGGCGAGUGAAGCGGCAACAGCUCAAAUUUGAAAUCUGGCGCAAGCCCGAGUUGUAAUUUGUAGAGGAUGCUUCUAGGUAGCGACCGGUCUAAGUUCCUUGGAACAGGACGUCAUAGAGGGUGAGAAUCCCGUAUGUGACCGGCCCGCACCUUCUACGUAGCUCCUUCGACGAGUCGAGUUGUUUGGGAAUGCAGCUCUAAAUGGGAGGUAAAUUUCUUCUAAAGCUAAAUACCGGCCAGAGACCGAUAGCGCACAAGUAGAGUGAUCGAAAGAUGAAAAGCACUUUGGAAAGAGAGUUAAAAAGCACGUGAAAUUGUUGAAAGGGAAGCGCUCACAACCAGACUUCUGGGCGGUGUUCCGCCGGUCUUCUGACCGGUCUACUCACCGUCCCGAGGCCAACAUCAUCUGGGACCGCUGGAUAAGACCUCAGGAAUGUAGCUCCCCCUCGGGGGAGUGUUAUAGCCUGUGGUGAUGCAGCGCGUCUCGGGUGAGGUCCGCGCUUCGGCAAGGAUGUUGGCGUAAUGGUUGUCAGCGGCCCGUCUUGAAACACGGACCAAGGAGUCUAACAUCUAUGCGAGUGUUCGGGUGUCAAACCCCUACGCGUAAUGAAAGUGAACGGAGGUGGGAAGCGUAAGCUGCACCAUCGACCGAUCCUGAUGUCCUCGGAUGGAUUUGAGUAAGAGCAUAGCUGUUGGGACCCGAAAGAUGGUGAACUAUGCCUGAAUAGGGUGAAGCCAGAGGAAACUCUGGUGGAGGCUCGCAGCGGUUCUGACGUGCAAAUCGAUCGUCAAAUUUGGGUAUAGGGGCGAAA